UGGGGAAUUUUGGACAAUGGGGGAAACCCUGAUCCAGCCAUCCCGCGUGUGCGAUGAAGGCCUUCGGGUUGUAAAGCACUUUUGGCAGGAAAGAAACGUCAUGGGUUAAUACCCCGUGAAACUGACGGUACCUGCAGAAUAAGCACCGGCUAACUACGUGCCAGCAGCCGCGGUAAUACGUAGGGUGCAAGCGGUAAUCGGAAUUACUGGGCGUAAAGCGUGCGCAGGCGGUUCGGAAAGAAAGAUGUAAAAUCCCAGAGCUCAACUUUGGAACUGCAUUUUUAACUACCGGGCUAGAGUGUGUCAGAGGGAGGUGGAAUUCCGCGUGUAGCAGUGAAAUGCGUAGAUAUGCGGAGGAACACCGAUGGCGAAGGCAGCCUCCUGGGAUAACACUGACGCUCAUGCACGAAAGCGUGGGGAGCAAACAGG
rnacentral:rRNA from 1 species